CGCCUCCGGGGCGAGAUCCCAUUCCGCGUCCGCAGCCGAUGCCCGACCCGCCGCCGGACGAAGAACCGAUUAAAU
rnacentral:sRNA from 1 species